UUUUAGCUGGACUUUCCCUCCAAGUAAGAUGGUGAAGCUUCUUUCUCCUGGUAUCAGCUUUGUCUACUCUGCAGGCUGGUAUGCUCCUAGCUAGCUGCUGACCUUUAAAACAAACAAGGAAAGCCCCAUCACAAGCAGGCACUGGAAGGAAUAGCAAAGGAGGGAACGUGGAUUUUCUGCAUGUGGCACAGAAUCAGAGGAUGGAGACAGCAUUAUUUCAGAUGAAUCAAGCUAAGCAACUAUUGGUAAAGAUCAAAGAAAGGGAGGAGGAGGGCUG